rnacentral:lncRNA from 1 species
UUCCAAGUCCUGAUUUAGAUGAGGUACUAAUGGCUCUUACUGCUGAAUCACCUUAAAAGUCAAAUGUAUUUUUAAAAGGGAAGCUUGUUGGGUAUUGUUUAAUUGUGCAUUGCACAUUCCUGUCUUAAUAGAAAAAGAUCAUCUGUAAAACUUAUGAGAGCAGAUAGGAAAUGCCACUAUCCACAGAGCCAGUUGGGUAGAGGGAAGGGCGUUGGGUUUGAAAGAUAAUUUUCACUCGUUUGACCAAAACAAAGAGAGCAUGAUUGCACUGUGUGAAAAUGAUAUCCUCGAAUAACUCCACUAAUUUGAUUGUGCUGAGGUCUAGAAUUGUUUCUAUUUCUUUUGAUUUGCUAAUUAGCUAGAGCAGUCCGCUAGUGAGAGGGGAAAUGAGGGUCACAGCCAUAAAACAUGGAGGAUUGUUGUUCCUUCCAACUCAGCUCACCCAUCUCAUGCCUCCCCAACCAUCCCGUCCCAACGCCCAAUUUUGUCUCUGUGUAUGUAACAACAAUCCAUCCAUCUAUGACAAAUUGAGUGAUUCUUUUCUGAAAACAGGAUUUUUAAGAUUAUCUACUUUAUGACACCAAAUUUGACACAUCUUGGCAUAUGUGGUUAUGAGGUCCAGUUAUGACUUUUAUGAUGUUUUCCUUUAUGAAUCCUGCUCCCUGCCUUGCCAAGUUAAAAUUAUAUCUUAUGAUUACAUUAGUAUAAAGGUGAGUAUAUUUUCUUCUUUAUUUAAAUAUCUUCUUUAAUCUAAAAGUUUAUCUUUUUCUGAUUUUUAGAAGAAAUUAAAUCAUUUUUGGGAAGCCCUCAAGGUACCAUAAGCUCUGGGCAGUGUGCCUAAGACUUCUAAUGGAGAAUUUAGCCCUGUGCAGAUGAUAUUGCAGAGGAGGAAUGCUUAGUUAAUUUAGUUCCAGGAUACCUGUGCAGGACAUGACAUGCAGGUUUGUCAUGUAGGUAAACAUGUGCCAUGGUGGUUUGCUGCACCUGUCGACCCAUCACCUAGGUAUUAAGCCCCACAUGCAUUAGCUAUUUUUCCUGAUGUUCUCCCUCCCUCCACCCCCUUGACAGGCCACAGUGUGUGUUGUUCCCCUCCCUGUGUCCAUGAGUUCUCAUUGUUCAGCUCCCACUUAUAAGUGAGAACAUGUGACGUUUGGCUUUCUGUUCCUGUGUUAGUCUGUGGAGGAUAUUGGCUUCCAGCUCCAACCAUGUCUCUGCAAAGGACAUGAUCUCAUUCCUUUUUAUGGCUGCAUAGUAUUCCAUGGUGUAUAUGUACCAGCAGUUAGUUCUUAAAUUAAAAAAAAAAGCUUUCAUAUUUAAUCAAGUUAGGUUAUUUCAAUAUAUGCACCAUAAUGAUUAUUGUAAAGUAAGUUCUGUAAACUAAGGAAAAAUAACUAUUUUGUGCAAUCUCAGAAAAAUCUACUAGAUGGUAUGGGAAACAAGAAAGAGAAAUGAAGAGGCAAAUAAAAACAUGGCAUUUAUUGAGUAGCUGUAUGCUGGGAGAUUUGAACAUUCUCCUUUCCUUUCCCCUAAUUUUACGUACAGAGAAGUAACUUCUUGAAGGUUGUAUGUUCCAGCUUGCAACUAGCCAUGUUGGAUUUAGAAACAGGUCAAAGUCAAGUUCCAUGCUUUCUUCCUGUCUCAUGAUAGCAUUCUCUCCCAUUCUCUACCUGCACAUAUAUAUUUCAUAAAACUAGAAAGAGGACUCCACUAUAUUUUACAUCAUUUCUUCAAAUGAAGAAGAGAUCUGAGUUCUUCAUACCUUCAACAUGUACUUACAUUCCAGGAAUUUAACUAUCCGUAAGGUAUUUAAAUCCUACAUUCAUGAUAUUGUUUUAAUUGCCCUGAGUCAACUAAUUGACAAAGGAAAAUGCUAUGCUUAAAAGCUCAGUUCUCAGUGUAAUUAUUUUUCUCUCCCCACAUAUAAUCAUCCUUUAAAUAUAAAAGCUAUUAUAGAGAUGCAGUUUCCAGCAAACUUUAUCUCACAUUGAGGCCCUUGACUUUAUGUGGUGUUUCAGAUCAGCUUUUUUGUCAAGGGUCACACAUUCAUUCCAGCAUCACUUAAUUCUUUAGCUGUUAGUCUCCAUCCAGCACUAGGGUAGACCCUGGAGAUGCAAAAGCAAGCUAGAGACAGUACCCUUAUUCUCAUGGAGCUAAACAUUAGAGAGGUAUUGGUGUAUUCUUCGGAGUAUAUAAUGCCCUUUCCAGCUAUGGACUCUGCCUUUCUUUAUGUAUUCACCUCUUCCUGGAAGCCACUUUGAGUUGGCAGAAACACUCUGCCUGCCUCAGGAGACAGAGGGAAUUAUUUGUUGAUAAAUUGGGGAAGAAUGGCUCUAAAUGCUUACAUCAGCUCUGUCCUUCCUCUUGGGAAUGAGAUGCAUGCAGGGAGCAUUUAGCCUGCAAGGCUUCUCUGCUGCUCUUCAGGGAUGCUUCCCUGUAGGAGAGAGAUCUACCUGGGUCUGGGGUGGCCUCUUCCUCCCUGGAAGGAAAAAAUUGGACACGGAGAUAAGGACAGAGGAAAGAUGAUGUGAAGACAGGGGCAGAAGUCAGCCAUCUACAAGUCAAAGGGAGACAUGUGGAACAGAUUCACCCUCACAGCCCUCAGAUGGAAGCAACACCACUAACACUUUGCUCUUGGACUUCUAGCUUCCAGAACUGAGAGACAAUAUCUUUCUGUUGCUUAAGUCAUUCUGUCUGUGAUACUGUGUUUAUGGCAGCCCUGGCAAACUAAUACAGUCCCACAAAGAUUUGGUUGUUGCUUUGCAAGAGAAUGUAUAAUUCCUGGUUAUUUCUACAAAUAAGGGCAUUGACUUUAUAAAGCUACAAGUAUACCCCAGUAUUCUGUUUCUGGUUUUUGUUUACUUUCAUAUAUGCUAUCUUUUCAUUCCCAGGUGAAAUCAUAGUGCAUUUUAAAUGAUAUUUUAAAGAGCAAUUAUACUCGUCAUAUGUACUUCAAAUAAUACUGAUUCCUCAAUUGAAGUAAUGGUAACAUGAGUGUAUUAGUUAAUUUUUUCUGAAUAACUAGUUACCUCCAAAGUUCAUGCCUUCAAGCAACACAUAUUCAUUAUUUCACAGCUUCUUUGGGUCAGGAGUCUUGGCAUAGCUUAGCUGAGUCCUCUGGCUCCUGGCGUCCCAGGCUGUAAUCAAGGUGGUGGCCAGGACUGUAGUCAUGUCAGGGCUCGCCAGGGAAGGAUCUGCCUCCAAGCUAACCAGUGUGGCUUUUGGCAGAAUAUAUUUCUAUGCAGGUUGUUGGACUGAGUUUCUUGCUGGCUGUUCCAGAGGUUCCCUUAGCAUCUUGUCGUGUGGCCUCUUCAUAGGUCAAUUCAUAUUGGCUUCAUCAAAGUGAGCAGGUAAGAUAGCAAAAGAGAAUGCCCAAGAUAGAAGCCAUAGUCUUUUUGUAAUCUAAUCUUAGAAGUGACAGCCUGUUAUAUUUGCUAUAUUCUCUUUGUUAGAAACAAGUUUCUAGGGCUGGGCAUGGUGGCUCACAUCUGUAAUCCCAGCAUUUUGGGAGGCCGAGACAGGCAGAUCACCUGAGGUCAGGAGUUCGAGACCAGCCUGGCCAACAUGGCGAAAUCCUGUCUCUACUAAAAAUACAAAGCCGAGUGUGGUGGCGCAGGCCUGUAAUCCCAGCUACUUGGGAGGCUAAGGCAGGAGAAGCACUUGAACCUGGGUGGUGGAGGUUGCAGUGAGCCAAGAUUGUGCCACUGCACUCCAGCCUGGGUGACAGAGUGAGACUCCAUCUCAAAAAACAAACAAACAAAAAACCAAAUUACUAGGUUUGUCUCAUUCUCAAGGGAAGAGUUUACUCAAGAGAAUAAAUACCAGGAGGUUGGGAUCACUGGAGGCCAGUUUAGAGUCUGCCUACCAAUAGGAGCAAGGCCAUCAAUGUCAGUCAGUGACAUCAACAUCAUGUAGACUGCUUGGCCAACAGUAAUGCUAAAAUGCCAUCAAUCUUGAGAUCAUCUUCAUCUCAUAAAUAUUAACAUGUAAAAAAAGUCAUUUUAAAGUAAAGAAAAUAUGUUAUUUUUUAACAUUUGAAACAGCCCCUGAAGUCAUGUUUUAGAACAUUUUCUCAUCAUUUUUUGUGUGACUUUUAUAAUAUCUUUUAUAUUAUAUGUUAUAAUAGGGAAUAAAGAAAGUAAAAUAACUCCAAAUCAAAUUUUGAGCACUUACCAAUUAUUAAAUCAUUUAAACAGUCAGGAAAUGGAUACUACUGUGUUCUAGAAAUGGGUACCAACUCUCAAAAUGUUUCACAUACUCAUGGAAAUAACAUGGCUUUAAUGGAAGGGCUUAGGGAGUUCUGCUUCAAGCUGGCUGAUCAGAAAAAGGAGAAGCCUCAGAAAGGAAGUGGGAUCUGUACAUGCACCCAGGAAGCACAGCUUUAGUGUCAAUGGAGAAGUUUCGAAUAGCAAAAUUCUCCACUGAACUUGCUGAAAGCACGAGAGGAGAAAGAAGCAUUUGCAGGCCCAGAUGAUACCUAAGAGAGGACUGUGCAUUGCUUUUCAACCUCCACAUGUCAGUACUCAAGGGAUAAGCUGAAUUUUAAAAAUUUACUUUUGUAUUUGUUUCAUUGUAUAUUACUACCUGUUCACUAUAGCUAAUUGGGAAACUUACAAAAAUUAGAAAUAAUAAGAUUCCUCUUUCCCCAAAGUCACCACUAUCCUGAAUUUUAAAACUAGAGCUUACUUUUGCAAUCUUGACACUUUAUUUCACUACCGUCAUAUAGUAUCCUUCUGUGUCUCAGUCCUUUUUCUUUUUUUGACAUUGUUAUGAAGUUCAUCCAUGUUGUUGCAUGGGCUAAGGCUCAUUUUUAUUGCUGAAUAAUGUCAUAUUGUAUGAAUGUACUAAAUAUUCUUAGUCAUCCUUCUGUUGAGGGUAUUUGUGCUGUUUCCAGUUAGGACUUUCACAAAUCAUGGUUUCAUGAACAUUCUUUGUGAUGGCUAAUAUCAGGUGUCAACUUGAUUAGAUUGAGGGAUGCCUAGAUGGCUGGUCAUUGUUUCUGGGUGUGUCUGUGAGGGUGUUGCCAGAGGAGAUUGAUAUUUGAGUCAGUGGACUGGGAGAGGAAGAUCUCAUGCUCCUCAAUGUGAGUGGGAACCAUCCAAUCCAUGGCCAGCAGUCCUCUCUCAGACAAAAACAAAGCAGGUGGAAGAAGGUGGGAUAAGUUGGCUUGCUGAGUCUUCUGGCUUUCAUCUUUCUCCUGUGCUGGAUCGUUUUUGUCCUUGGACAUCAGACUCCAUGUUCUUCCGCCGUUGGACUCUUGGACUUACAGCAGUAGUUUUGCUGGGGGCUUUUGGGCCUUUGGCCACAGACUGAAAACUGCACUGUCAGCUUCUUUGGUUUUGAGGCUUUUGGACUCAGACUGAGGCACUAUUGGCUUCUUUCUUCCCCAGUUUGCAGAAGUCAUAUUGUGGACUUUGCCUUGUGAUCGUGUGAGCCAAUUCUUCCUAAUAAACUCUCUUUCAUAUAUACAUAUAUCCUAUUAGUUCUGUUCCUCCAGAGAACCCUGACUAAUAUACUCAUAGAUAUGCUUUUUGGUACACGAUUUCAAGCAUAUAUUUGGUGUAAACCUAAGAGUGAGAUUGUCACAUCACAGGACUUUCAAAUGCUCAACUUGAAUGGUUAAUGUUGAACUGCUUUCCAAAGAAGUGAGGCCAACUCAUACCCUACCAGUCAUGUUUCUCUGUUUUUUUUUCAAAGAUUUUGGUAGUAUCAGUCUUUGCAAUAUUAGCCAUUUUGUUGAGUAGGUAGUAGUGUGUCAUUUUGGUUUUCACUGGAUUUUGUGAUGACAAAUGAAGUUGAACACUUUUACUUAGCUAUACUUUCAGUUUAGUUUACUUGUAAUUAGUUACAGUGUUUAAUGGCUGUUUGGGUCUCUUCUUUCAUGAAGUGCCUAUUCUUGUCUUUUGCCUAUUGUUUCCUAUUGGCUUGUUUGCAUUUUUGUUAGUGAUUUCUAAAAAGUCUCUAUAUAUUUGGGAUAAGUGGCUGUGACUCAGUUUUAUAACGUAUAAAAUAGAAAUAAUAAUGCUCCCCACAUAUGACAUUGUUAUGAGGAGUGUAUUAGUUAAUACACAGAAAAGCUUCAAGCCAAAUGUGGCACAGAGUAAGUGCUCAGUAUUAUUGUGCUUAGCCGAAAGAACACUGCUAAGAACUGUGGACACAGAAAUCCAAAGAGGCCUUCUAACUUCCAUUCAACACAUUUUGCCUUGCACAACAACUUCUCAGAAGUUCUGAAACUCACUAUACUUGCCCCUAAUUGUGCCCCAGUACUAGCUUUAGUGAGAAGUACUGUGAUAAUUUUGUUACAAUCCCAACACUAUUUUUUAAAAUUGUAUUUUUCCUUGUAGAAGAAGGCAGUUUUCAAGCUGCAAAUUGAUAGGGAAGCACUUAUUCUCACAGGCACUGCAUGGUACAAUUGGCAUUUAGCAUGUUCAUUGCAAAAGUUUUAAAAGAAUAGCACUGCAGCAGGAGAAAGAGGAAGACAACGACAAUAACAACAACAACAAAGCAAAGUAAAAACUACUCCCUGAAUGCAGAAAUAAAAUGUAUUAAAAAUUAAAGGGUGCACAAUGGGAGCAAUUAAGUGUUUUAGGCCAAGUGCCCAUUCUUGCCUCAUCCAAAUUCCCUUGGUUCACUGGCCACAUUUAAGAAAAAAGGGACAAUUUUUAUCUUCUGCCCUAGUGAAAAUUGUUUUGCUCCCAGUAGCCAGACAAUAAAAAUUUCCUAUAAACAAAUAAACACACUUUAAUCACCGUGGUUAUUCUCCUUCUAUCAGUGGAAUUUUCACAGAUAAAGUUUGUUGAGGAGGAUAGAAAAACCACAAUUUAGGCCUUUGAAACCAAAAAUGACAGAAAAAUCUUUCAUUUAUUAUUCCUCGUGGACAAUAGCUCUUAAUAUCUUCCUUCUAGGUUUCUUAAUUAAAUUCAGCUUCUUAUAUUUUUCUCUUGAUUCACCCACUUUCAUUCCCAGAUUAACCUAGAUCUUCAUAACUAUAAUUUCUCAACUGUAAAAUUUCAUUUACCUCAUUUAAAUUUCUGUAGAUUUCUCUCCCCAAGUGGAAAGUUUGAUUAUUCACUCUUUCACCUUUCUCCCCAGGCAAUAAAACUAUGCUGCUUAGACUAGUGCUAACUGAUUUAUAAACAGUCAAAUAAAUUGCAUUAUUCUGUAUAAUUCAUAUAUGUGUGAAUAUAGAGUGACUUUAGAAAGUGACAGUGAUAGUCCUAGCCUGUGAAGAAUGGCCACCAUCUUCAAAGAUCCUUCUGAAGCGUUAUCUUUUCCACACAAUCUCUGAUUUCUUCUUGGGGAAAGGACUAGUUUUCUCUUUCAAAUCCCCCAGCAUGUCUCCAAGGGCAUUAUAGUUGAUUAGUUCAUUUUUUCCUGAUCAUCUGCUCCCUGCAUCUCCAUAGAGGAUGAGACAUACCUGCCUCUUGCUAUAUGACUUUCAGUGGCCCCCUGUGCUUUUCUGUCACUGGUGCCAGGCUUGGCCAAGUGACAUUCUUCAGUCAACGGAAGGGGAGCAGAUUAGUUCCUUCUGAGAGGAAGUUUUCAAAGGCAUUAUAAGUUUUUACCAGCUUCAUUGCUCUUUUCCUGUGCCAAGUUCCUUCGGCUUGGUCCCAAGAAUGAGAAGGCACAUGGAACCAUGGGACCUGAGCUGUGGCCUCCUACAUGUGACAUGAGCAAGAAAGAAAUAUCUGAGGUUUGGGGGUCAUUGGUUACUUCAGCACUUAGCACUUUAUUGAAAUUGUUUGUUUGUUUGUCUUAUUCAAGGUGCAUUCAGGAAAUGCAUCUUCUUCGUUGGAUGUCUGCAUAGUCUGGAGCUUGGCAGUUGGUGGGAGCUAAUAAAUGUUUGUGGAAUAAGUGAAUGAUUCAAUGAAGAUCUCCAAUGAGAAGCAUCUAUUAUCUGCCAUGGCAAUUGUGCUGACUGGAGAAUGUUUCUUACCCUGAGCAGAAAUUGAAUCCUCCUGUACUUCCACUAUGGGUUUUAGUUAUAUCCCUUAGGCUCCUAUAAAACCGUCUAAUUCCUCAUCCAUAUGACAGCCCUCUAAUGCCUGAAAGCAGUGCUACUAUUCAUCUUAGGAUUUUAUCUUUGCAGAAUAGGUAUUCCCAGUCCUUAUCCAUUUUGGUAUCUCCCAUGGUUUUAAUGUCCUUGGUUUCCUGGGGGUCCUCUUUGCAGGUGCUCUUGAUGCAUGUCUCUCUUAGCACAUGGGAUCUGCAAUUAGCAUCAUUAUCCAUGUGUGGUCAGAGUAGCACAGGGUGAGGAAAGAGUGUCUCCUCCCUCUGUCUAGACAAAUUAUACUGAGUCUAACACAGCCUCCAGUUGCCUUCACUGGUCUUGGCAGCCCCAUCAUGCUGCUGACCCAUGUGGAGUCAACCAAAUCCCUUAAGUCUUUUCCAGGAGCCUUUAUUGUCAAGCUCUGCCUCAACUUGUGCAGGUGGUUUGGGGAAUCCAAAUGUAGAUCUUUAUACUUUUCCCUGUUUGCCUACUCCCCUCAUUUCAUCUAGUUACUGAUUUCUGUCUACAGUAUUUUGGGAAAUGAAGGCUUUGGUUUCUGGGAAAGGAAAUGCAGCAGGUAGUCCACACAAAGGAGAAACAACUGUGUCUUGUUAAUCCUGGUAUGGCUAGAGAGCUCCAUUUUCAGGUUCUGCAAUGUAUACUUCACUAUGUGAGGUAGCUCAUUUCUAGUACUGUACUGUCUUUGCUUGGUUUCUCAGGGGGAAUAGAAGAGUAGCAUCAAUAGCACACACCAACAAGAAGCUCUAUGUGUGACAUAUAGACUGACUGUAAGGUGUUCCCCAUAACCCCUGCUUCCCGGUAAUCAUGCUCUUUGAUUAUCCCCUUGGCUUGAGUAUAGACAUGUCCUGUAACUUGCUUCUAUCCAAUGGAAUAUGGCAAAGCCAAUGGGAUAUAUGUGAUUGCAUGUACAUAAUUAUAUUUGGUGUGAUUGUAACAUUGCUUCCUUGCUGGCUGUGAGGAGCAAGGUUCUAGGCUGUGAUCUGUUCCCUGGGAAGAGGCCACAUAGUCAGAAACUGAGGGCAACUUCUAGCUGACAGCUAGCAAGAAGCUAAGGCCCUCAACCUGACAGCUUGCCAGAAACAGGAUGCUAUCAACAACCAAAUGGGCCUGGAAAAUGAUGCUUUCCCAGUCCACCCUUGAAGUGAGGUUGCAGCACUGGCUGAUGCCUUGAUUGCAGCUUCCAGAUGAGACUCUGAGGCAGAUGAUUCAACAAAGCCAGGCCCGACUCCUGAUCCAUGGAAACUGUGAUAUA